AAGUUCAGAACAGCCACCUUUGGUGCCCAUAAUGUAGCACCGUGUGUGUCUCCUGGCCUGGGGCUGCACAGGACACUGUUAGGGUAUUUUUUUCUCUCUCUUUUCAUGGAGUUUUACAAAUUUGCAAUACCUUUUUCUUUAAAGUCAGCAGUCAGGUAGCUUGAACAUAGCCUUUCUCCUGAACAUUUCAGGAGGUGACUUUCAAUGUAGCUGUCCUUCGUUUAGACAGGCCAAGCAGGGAUCUGAACUGAACCCUUCUGGGAUUUUGUCAGGAUUCUUUCAACAACCCUUAGACUACUUUCCUCAGUUCUAUUUCUGGCUCUCUGAAUUUGUGGAAAAUUGCUUAAAAUCAUCCCCUUUUGCUAAGCAUUUAAGCUGAUAACUAUUGAACUAUGAUCCAUUAUGUGUUAUUAUCACACCAGCUGUGCUUUGCUUGGCAAACAGCAACAGACCUGGUAUCAUGGCACACAUCCAGGUACAUCUAUCAGCAGUAUUGUCUAACAAUGCUCUUUAUAAAUGGCAAGAGCUGAAAUGGAACAAAAAACCCCAUAUUUUUCUUCAGCAUAUACAAACCCAGCUUCCCCUGUGAUGGAACACAGCUCCAUAUAGUUUAGAGCUUUCAUGGACAACAAUAUAUUUUAGUCAUCUUUUCUUAUGGUUAAUGAUGACAGAAUACAUUUUUUUUCUUAGCUUUGUUCUCUGAUGGUUUUUUCCUCUGCUAUUUUUAUACUCCCAACUUGUUCUGCUUUAUCUCCCUUUCUGAUAUUUUUGCAAGAUUCUGUCCAUCUUUGUGUUAACUUUCUCGAUGACAAAGCCUCUAGCAGGGUUUUAGUCUGAGGGCUGUCUACUUCCUGAAGCAAUUACAAGCUUCAGCUUCUCAGCAGGCAAGCCCAAAGCUUGUCCACCAGGUCCUGGAGCCGGAGAAUAUUUUUCUUAUCCUCCUCAGACUGUGGGAAGUGAAAAUCACAUUGGCUUCAGAUCACAGAAGUGAUGCACAUAAGGGGGCAGAGGAUUUGAAUUACCUGGUGCCUCUUGAGCUCCUCAAUCUGUUGGGUGAAAGCCUGCUUGCCUCUUGACAGCUGAGAAAUCAGAGCAUCUUUCUCCUCCACCUGGCGCGAGUAUUCCCCUGAGGGAAGUCAGAUGAGUAAAGGAGCUUCUUUAUGCCUUACUGAAAAGUGUCAACCUUGAUAAUUAAAUGCAUAUAAAAAUA